CAGGCCUAACACAUGCAAGUCGAACGGUAACAGGUCUUCGGAUGCUGACGAGUGGCGAACGGGUGAGUAAUACAUCGGAACGUGCCCAAUCGUGGGGGAUAACACAUCGAAAGAUGUGCUAAUACCGCAUAAGAUCUACGGAUGAAAGCGGGGGAUCGCAAGACCUCGCGCGAAUGGAGCGGCCGAUGGCAGAUUAGGUAGUUGGUGGGGUAAAGGCCUACCAAGCCGACGAUCUGUAGCUGGUCUGAGAGGACGACCAGCCACACUGGGACUGAGACACGGCCCAGACUCCUACGGGAGGCAGCAGUGGGGAAUUUUGGACAAUGGGCGCAAGCCUGAUCCAGCAAUGCCGCGUGCAGGAUGAAGGCCUUCGGGUUGUAAACUGCUUUUGUACGGAGCGAAAAGGUUUUCUCUAAUACAGAAGGCCCAUGACGGUACCGUAAGA
rnacentral:rRNA from 1 species